rnacentral:rRNA from 1 species
CGGGGGGGGGAAGAACCAACAGGGAUUGCCCUAGUAACGGCGAGUGAAGCGGCAACAGCUCAAAUUUGAAAUCUGGCCCCCGGGUCCGAGUUGUAAUUUGUAGAGGAUGCUUUUGGCGAGGUGCCUUCCGAGUUCCCUGGAACGGGACGCCAUAGAGGGUGAGAGCCCCGUCUGGUCGGACACCGAGCCUCUGUAAAGCUCCUUCGACGAGUCGAGUAGUUUGGGAAUGCUGCUCAAAAUGGGAGGUAUAUGUCUUCUAAAGCUAAAUAUUGGCCAGAGACCGAUAGCGCACAAGUAGAGUGAUCGAAAGAUGAAAAGCACUUUGAAAAGAGGGUUAAAAAGUACGUGAAAUUGUUGAAAGGGAAGCGCCUAUGACCAGACUUGGGCCCGGUGAAUCACCCAGCGUUCUCGCUGGUGCACUUCGCCGGGCACAGGCCAGCAUCAGUUUGGCGCGGGGGAGAAAGGCUUCGGGAAUGUGGCUCCCCUGGGAGUGUUAUAGCCCGUUGCGCAAUACCCUGCGCUGGACUGAGGUACGCGCAUUCGCAAGGAUGCUGGCGUAAUGGUCAUCAGCGACCCGUCUUGAAACACGGACCAAGGAGUCGUCUUCGUAUGCGAGUGUUCGGGUGUCAAACCCCUACGCGUAAUGAAAGUGAACGCAGGUGAGAGCUUCGGCGCAUCAUCGACCGAUCCUGAUGUUCUCGGAUGGAUUUGAGUAAGAGCAUACGGGGCCGGACCCGAAAGAAGGUGAACUAUGCCUGUAUAGGGUGAAGCCAGAGGAAACUCUGGUGGAGGCUCGCAGCGGUUCUGACGUGCGAAUCGAUCGUCAAAUAUGGGCAUGGGGGCGAAAGACUAAUCGAACCUUCUAGUAGCUGGUUUCCGCGUUUUUCUCUCUCUUCGCAGAAA